rnacentral:rRNA from 1 species
UACGAAGGGGGCUAGCGUUGCUCGGAAUCACUGGGCGUAAAGCGCGCGUAGGCGGCUUUCUAAGUCAGGGGUGAAAUCCUGGAGCUCAACUCCAGAACUGCCUUUGAUACUGGAGAGCUCGAGUCCGGAAGAGGUGAGUGGAACUGCGAGUGUAGAGGUGAAAUUCGCAGAUAUUCGCAAGAACACCAGUGGCGAAGGCGGCUCACUGGUCCGGUACUGACGCUGAGGUGCGAAAGCGUGGGGAGCAAACAGG